rnacentral:rRNA from 1 species
GAACGCUGGCGGCAUGCCUUACACAUGCAAGUCGAACGGCAGCACGGGUGCUUGCACCUGGUGGCGAGUGGCGAACGGGUGAGUAAUAUACCGGAACGUACCUUAUCGUGGGGGAUAACGCAGCGAAAGCUGCGCUAAUACCGCAUACGCCCUGAGGGGGAAAGCGGGGGAUUCGUAAGAACCUCGCGCAAUUAGAGCGGCCGAUGUCGGAUUAGCUAGUUGGUGGGGUAAAGGCUCACCAAGGCGACGAUCCGUAGCGGGUCUGAGAGGAUGAUCCGCCACACUGGGACUGAGACACGGCCCAGACUCCUACGGGAGGCAGCAGUGGGGAAUUUUGGACAAUGGGCGAAAGCCUGAUCCAGCCAUGCCGCGUGAGUGAAGAAGGCCUUCGGGUUGUAAAGCUCUUUCAGCCGGAAAGAAAUCGCGCAGGCUAAUACUCUGCGUGGAUGACGGUACCGGAAGAAGAAGCACCGGCUAACUACGUG